rnacentral:sRNA from 1 species
AAGCUCAUUCUUCUUCUUCCUCCCAGCAGCUCUGCCUGGAAGUCCCCCAAUCCCUGUGCUCCUGCCCCCAGAUCGUGGGCUUGGGGGACAGCAAGAAAGCUGCAAAGGACUCAGCUGGGGCGGCUCCACAAGGACCCCACAGGCUUGAGGCGUUGCCAGGAUUCUAUCCCAGGCGGUUUUCUGGGUCCCCCAGAGCCCUCUCAAGCACGGGGAGGCAUUUCAGGAAUCUGCAGCCUGGAGGCCACAGCCAUGGCAGGCCCCCGAUACCCAGUUUCAGUGCAAGGGGCAGCCCUGGUGCAGAUCAAGAGGCUCCAAACGUUUGCCUUCUCCGUGCGCUGGUCAGACGGCAGCGACACCUUCGUGCGCAGGAGUUGGGACGAAUUCAGGCAGCUCAAGGUGAGUGACCCUGGGCCACCCUGAUGCCGCGGUGGCGGCUUCCCCACGCGGCUGCCUCCCACUGGACUGCCUCCCAUCAGUGACUCCCACUGGAGGCCCUUCGUCCCUGCUGAAGCUCCCAGCCCCUGCCAUCCGGGUGAGGGACCCCGCCCUCUCAAGGGUGCACAGUGGGUUCUGGAAGACCAAUGCCCUGGUUCCCACCCUCAGAAGACCCUCAAGGAGACCUUCCCGGUGGAGGCGGGCCUGCUGCGGAGAUCUGACCGCGUUCUCCCAAAGCUUCUCGGUCAGGCCAGCCUGGGUACGGGAGCUGGGAAGGCGGUGGCUUGCCUGGGGGCGCCAGGGACCAGUGAAGCCCAAAGCGGCGUAUCACAGUACGUUUUUGUGGUGCCUUAAGAUGCACCACUGUUGGGACGCGUGGGGCGCACGAACCGCGGCCUGGCGCGCCUGCAGCUGCUGGAAACCUAUUCUCGGAGGCUGCUGGCGACUGCAGAGCGCGUGGCACGGAGCCCGACGAUCACUGGCUUCUUCGCACCGCAACCCCUGGACCUGGAGCCCGCGCUGCCACCCGGCAGCCGGGUGAUCCUGCCCACCCCAGAGGAGCCGCCUCUUUCUCGCGCUGCGGGCCGCCUCUCCAUCCACAGUCUGGAGGCUCAGAGCCUGCGCUGCCUGCAGCCCUUCUGUAUCCAGGACACGC